UAUAAGUAACCACCAGACUUGCCCCAAAUCCACAUCAGGCGACAAACAUUUCCACGGUAUUUCUACUCAGACAAACAUGGAAAUCAACAACAGAGAGAGGAAGAAGACAACAACAGAGAGAGAUAGAGAGAAAGAGAGACGACGGUAGUUGCUGUUUCCGACGCCACCUCCUACCGGCAACGGAAUCAACUGAUGGCAGCGAGUCUAGGUUUUCCGUUGGCCCUUUCUGAUUAUGGUUGAAGGAGUGAACCGUCGUUGGGUAUUCUUCUACUCUGUUCGUAGAAAGUAGCCAGCAGAAAUUGAUACAGCAUCAGCUCAUCCAUGCAAAAGGCUACGCCAACCGAUAUGCUUUCCAGAUUUAAUAAAUUUAAAAAGUUAACUUUUUCGAAGGUGGCUGCCGGCUUAGAUGAGGGUGCCGAUUAACAAUUCAUGUCAAGUAUGAUAUACUUACCAAUUGAAUAUAUUAAUAUUCAUUAAUUGAUAUUGUGAAUCUGUUUAUGGAUGAGGAACCUUCAAUGAUGACGCUCAUGAUUGGAACUGCUCAGAUUCAGUAAGGUCUUGAUGAUGGCAGAAUAUGGCGGUGAAGGAUCAAUAGGGGGCCCAAAGAACUGUGCGCAACAAAGGACCAUUUGCGCAUGCGAGCAAGAUACAGGUCCUGUUUGGGUGCGAUGAUCAUACUUGGUUAUCAAGGCAGAACUUGAGUCAAAAGGCGAGUCGACUCAGUCAAACAAAAACCAACAACAAUGUUGAUGCCACUCAUAUCAUGUACCAUUUACAUUUUAUAAUUUCUUUCGCAUACCUUGCAACUCUUUAACGCACAAGUUUUCUAACAUUUCGGUAUAUAAUUUGUUUUGACCAGUAUUUUGCUUUUGGUUUUUGAUUUGUGUUGUUUGCUCAAAUCACGUUAGAAAAACCGCCCCGCAACGCGGGGGAAUCACUUUUAGUUAGAAAAUGUUUCGGAUAUUGCUUGUAUAAAUGUGGUAUUUUGU
rnacentral:lncRNA from 1 species